rnacentral:rRNA from 1 species
UACGAAGGGGGCUAGCGUUGUUCGGAAUCACUGGGCGUAAAGCGCACGUAGGCGGAUGUGCCAGUCAGGGGUGAAAUCCCGGAGCUCAACUUCGGAACUGCCUCUGAUACAGCACGUCUUGAGUCCGGAAGAGGUGGGUGGAAUUCCUAGUGUAGAGGUGAAGUUCGUAGAUAUUAGGAAGAACACCGGUGGCGAAGGCGGCCCACUGGUCCGG